GACAGAGGGUGCAAACGUUGUUCGGAAUUACUGGGCGUAAAGCGUGUGUAGGCUGCCAUGUAAGUCGGAUGUGAAAGCCCCGGGCUCAACCCGGGAAGUGCACUCGAUACUGCGUGGCUUGAGUACUGGAGAGGUUGGUAGAAUUCUCGGUGUAGAGGUGAAAUUCGUAGAUAUCGAGAGGAAUACCGGUGGCGAAGGCGGCCAACUGGACAGAUACUGACGCUGAGACACGAAAGCGUGGGGAGCAAACAGG
rnacentral:rRNA from 1 species